rnacentral:rRNA from 1 species
AGGCCUAUGCUCGAAUACAUUAGCAUGGAAUAAUAGAAUAGGACGUGUGGUUCUAUUUUGUUGGUUUCUAGGACCGCCGUAAUGAUUAAUAGGGACAGUCGGGGGCAUCAGUAUUCAAUUGUCAGAGGUGAAAUUCUUGGAUCUAUUGAAGACUAACUACUGCGAAAGCAUUUGCCAAGGAUGUUUUCAUUGAUAAGGAACAAAAGUUAGGGGAUCGAAGACGAUCAGAUACCGUCGUAGUCUUAACUAUAAACUAUGCCGACUAGGGAUCGGACGAUGUUAUUUUUUGACGCGUUCGGCACCUUUCGAGAAAUCAAAGUGCUUGGGCUCCAGGGGGAGUAUGGUCGCAAGGCUGAAACUUAAAGAAAUUGACGGAAGGGCACCACCAGGGGUGGAACCUGCGGCUUAAUUUGACUCAACACGGGGAAACUCACCAGGUCCAGACACAGUGAGGAUUGACAGAUUGAGAGCUCUUUCUUGAUUCUGUGGGUGGUGGUGCAUGGCCGUUCUUAGUUGGUGGAGUGAUUUGUCUGCUUAAUUGCGAUAAC